rnacentral:misc_RNA from 1 species
GAUGAAGAACGCAGCGAAAUGCGAUACGUAAUGUGAAUUGCAGAAUUCAGUGAAUCAUCGAAUCUUUGAACGCACAUUGCGCCCGCCAGUAUUCUGGCGGGCAUGCCUGUUCGAGCGUCAUUUCAACCAUCAAGCCCCCGGGCUUGUGUUGGGGACCUGCGGCUGCCGCAGGCCCUGAAAACCAGUGGCGGGCUCGCUAGUCACUCCGAGCGUAGUAGUUACAUCUCGCUCAGGGCGUGCUGCGGGUUCCGGCCGUUAAAAGCCUUUUACCCCAAGGUUGACCUCGGAUCAGGUAGGAAGACCCGCUGAACUUAAGCAUAUCAAUAAGCGGAGGA